CUGACGAGUGGCGGACGGGUGAGUAAUGCGUAGGAAUCUGUCUUUUAGUGGGGGACAACCCAGGGAAACUUGGGCUAAUACCGCAUGAGCCCUGAGGGGGAAAGCGGGGGAUCUUCGAACCUCGCGCUAAGAGAAGAGCCUACGUCUGAUUAGCUAGUUGGUAGGGUAAAGGCCUACCAAGGCGACGAUCAGUAGCUGGUCUGAGAGGACGACCAGCCACACUGGGACUGAGACACGGCCCAGACUCCUACGGGAGGCAGCAGUGGGGAAUUUUUCGCAAUGGGGGCAACCCUGACGAAGCAAUGCCGCGUGGAUGAAGAAGGCCUUCGGGUUGUAAAGUCCUUUCGUGGGGGACGAAAGGGUAGUUCUUAAUACGAGCUGCUGUUGACGUGAACCCAAGAAGAAGCACCGGCUAACUCCGUGCCAGCAGCCGCGGUAAUACGGGGGGUGCAAGCGUUAAUCGGAAUCACUGGGCGUAAAGGGUGCGUAGGCGGUACGUUAGGUCUGUCGUGAAAUCCCCGGGCUCAACCUGGGAAUGGCGGUAGAAACCGGCGAACUAGAGUAUGGGAGAGGGUGGUGGAAUUCCAGGUGUAGCGGUGAAAUGCGUAGAGAUCUGGAGGAACAUCAGUGGCGAAGGCGGCCACCUGGCCCAAUACUGACGCUGAGGCACGAAAGCGUGGGGAGCAAACAGGA
rnacentral:rRNA from 1 species